GGCCCGGUGGCGGAGUGAUGACGCGAAGAACCCUGCAAGGUUCUUGAGCCUGGUUUAAUUCCAGGCCGGGCCUCCA
rnacentral:tRNA from 1 species